CCUACGGGGGGCAGCAGUGGGGAAUCUUCCGCAAUGGGCGAAAGCCUGACGGAGCAACGCCGCGUGAGUGAAGACGGCCUUCGGGUUGUAAAGCUCUGUUACACGGGACGAACGGGUUUUGUGCGAACAGCAUAAGACCGUGACGGUACCGUAGAAGAAAGCCACGGCUAACUACGUGCCAGCAGCCGCGGUAAUACGUAGGUGGCAAGCGUUGUCCGGAAUGAUUGGGCGUAAAGGGCGCGCAGGCGGCCGACCAAGUCUGUCUAAAAAGUGCGGGGCUUAACCCCGUGAGGGGAGAGAAACUGGUUGGCUGAGAGUAUCGGAGAGGAAAGCGGAAUUCCUAGUGUAGCGGUGAAAUGCGUAGAUAUUAGGAGGAACACCGGUGGCGAAAGCGGCUUUCUGGA
rnacentral:rRNA from 1 species